rnacentral:tRNA from 1 species
GGCCGGCUGGCGCAAUGGUAGCGCAUCAGACUUCUACUACUUCUGCACAUUAGUCCGGAAGAAUAGAUAUCUGGGGGUUGUGGGUUCGAGCCCCACGUUGGUCA